rnacentral:lncRNA from 1 species
CCGGCUCCCCGGAGUGACAGCCGAAGACAGCGAAGGCAGCGUAGGAUCGCUGACCGCAAAAAGGCCGGGGAAUGCCCAUUAUGCCACCGAAAAUAGGGGGGAAGUUUGCAAGGUGUAUGGGUCUCCAUGACUGAGCCAUUUGCAGGACAGAUCUACGUCGUUGGACCAUGAGGGACUCACCGAAGUUCUCUACUCCGCUGGACCACGAGGGACUCACCGAAGCCUACAACGCCGCUGGACCACGAGGGACUCACCGAAGCCUUCAACGCCGCUGGACAACGAGGGACUCACCGAAGCCGCAACACCGUUGGAGCAAGCUCGACACGUCGAAGCUCUACACACCGCCGAAGAAAGAUCUUCGAGCUGAAGAAGACCGAAGAUAUUGCGUAUUUUAGUUAAGUUUUGCCUUUUGAAAAUAAACAUUUUGAUUUUGCGGUCGUUUUAUUUUAGUAACUUAAUCAUGAUUACGAUACAAAAGUUUAGAUUAAGACUGGACAAAUAAACAUUUGAGUCUAUGGUUGUUUUCUUUUAGAUGUAAGCAUAAUCAAAGUGAUACCAGAUCUCAGAUAUAUCAAGGUUAGAUUAAGUUUGCUCAGUAAAUAUUCGAAUUUAUCGUUGUUUUAUUAGAUUAAGUUUGGCCCAAUAAACAUUCGAAUUUGUUGUUGUUUUUAUUAGACUUUAAGAGAUAUACUGGGCGUUAGCUUAAGUUUUGGUCAAACAAAAACUGUUUUAACAGGAAGUUUCAUUUCAGCAUAGCUGACAAAAAUAUAUGUUCAUAUAUUUUUAACCGAAGUAGGGGGAGUGUAAUGAAGUUCAUAAAUUUUGGGACUCAUUUCUGGGACACCCCGUAUACUGUACUUAAAUAAUAGGGACCUUUUCUGUAAACAAGGUUAGGCAAUGUAUUUUAUUGUUAACUCAUUAUGGUAAUGAACUUCAUUAGUGUUCUUACUGUUGACUUAAGUAUGUUAGAUAUUUGAUGACCAUAUUGUAAUAGAGUUUUGAUCGGCGUUACUCGCUAUAGUUCGGUACGGCAGCCGAGAAGCUGGCCCUACCAGUACCGGUCGAGUGGAGGGGAGGGUCGUUUGAGUAUACCCUGGCAGCGAGAGCGCCAGGUAGUUAGUUGUGUGGUCGCACGUGAACAGUGAAGUUCGAGUCCGGAGUGCCCUGCCAAGUACCCUGCUGCCAGCCGCCGUUGCCGCUCUGUAGAAGGUAAGUCCAGCCGCCAAAGUGAUCGAGAGUAGGUCGUUUUCUUUUUAUUGUUAAUACGGUUUGUUUUACUGCCUUAACGCGUUAUAGAAUAAGGGAGAUAGAGAUAGUUAAAUUCGCUCCAGGUGUCUACUGUCCUACUAUAGAAGUAAAAAUACGUGCAAGGUAGAGGCAUCUUGGUCCGAAACGCGCGUACGUAAAAUUUAACCAGACUUGUAUCCGCUCAAGGUGUCUACUGUCCUACUAUAGAAGUAAAAAUACGUGCAAGGUUGAGGCAUUUUGUCCGGAUCCCGUGGACGCGAAGACCGAUUUCUUUUGGUUAAAAGGGAGACAGAUAGCGGUUAAGGUAGUACAACAAAUACACGGGCGCGAAUAUUCUUGGAGCUAAGACAGGAUCUCGUCCAAAUCCCGAGGCUGGUUCUGUAGUUCCCGUUUUCUCAUCAGGAGCGCCGUGGGAUCUCGCCGACAUCCCGAGGUGGUCCUGACCGG